AUGGCACCCAAGAGCAACGCGACACGGAUGGGUGUGGUUUUCGUGGUUCUUAUGAUCAUGUCUUCCACCCUAUCAUCAUCGUCCUGCUACGCACGCACAAUUGAAGAUGGAGCUCCAGUGUGCUCCCAUAUGGAAAAGUGCCAAGACCGUUGCCAGACCGCAUGCAGCAUCGGCGGCAAGCCCUCGACUGGAGCCUACUGCAAUGUCGAUUAG
rnacentral:rRNA from 1 species